AAUGGAGAAGAGCAAAGUGCAAUCUAAAGUCCCCUCCCAGCUACCUUGUGUCUUUGCGCUAUGCUUCUGUUCCUAUUGGUUGGAGUGCAUAGACGGGAAGCAACUGAGUGGUCUGACUGACGCUUCUAGGGCUUCAGUAUUUCAGAGCAGGCUUAAGAGAAGAGAGAUGUUCAGUGUGUGCUAAUAAACUGAUAUUUUCUGUUGGUGAUUAAGCCAGGAAAGAAGGGAAGAAAAACACUGUUUUGUAUAUAGGAACCAACUAAGAGAUCUCUGGAGUUCCAUAUUUCACAUCUGACAUUAUGAUUAAAUUAUUCACUGUCACUUUGGCUGCUAUAGGAUAUGGCAGGUUCUUUACCACUAGCGCCACCUGGAAAAAUGUAUCUCUCAGACUGAAGCUUGCGUAUGCUCUGCUACUGCUGCUAAGUCACUUCAGUCGUGUCCGACUCUGUGUGACCCCAUAGACAGCAACCCACCUGGCUCCGCCGUCCCCGGGACUCCCCAGAAAAAUUUGCGUGGAAAGGUGUAAUAGAACUGCUUAGAACUGGAAUGUUCAUAAUUGGAAUUUACUAUUGCAGGAAAAUAGACAAUAAACUGGGUCAGUGAGAUCACUCCUUUUCCUCUUUUAAUUUUCGACCAAUAUUCUCAGAACAAAAGGAAGUUACCAGUCAUAUUGGUACAUAUGUGUAUGCCUGCACAUAUGUUGU
ensembl:lncRNA